CUUUUCUUUUUAAUUUUAGCUUAUUUGUCUAAACACGCCAACACACUUUGCGUGGAGUGUAAUAACAUUUAAACUAAGAGACAGCGAGAUUGGUCUUGAAAAGUCUCUUCAUAAAAUGUAUGAGUACCCAUUUGAUUAAGGUUCCAAAUCUCUUUCUCUCUUAAGAUCAACAAAGAUGUCAUCAAUAGCUUCUGGUACAGUUCCAACCACCAAAUCCGUUGCAUGUUUCAGAAAGUCUGCAAGUUCUUCAUCUUUGCUUCAUCGAUCUUCUUCUUCUCGGUUCAUGCCAACUUCCUUAUCACCUAUUUAUGCAAAACUCAUAAACUCUAACAAUAGUUCCUCAGUUUCUUCAUCAUCUUCCUCCUCACCUCCUGAACCCUUAAGACCCGUUAUGCGCAGCACAGAAGCUGAUCGACUUGAAGAAGAAAGACUCCGCCAAGUACACUGGCAAGACGUCGCGGUAAAGAUGGUAGUGGACGCACCAGCUUCCGUGGCUUACAAUUUAUACGCAGAUCGUGACUUAUUCCCUAAGUGGAUGCCAUUUUUGUCAUCAGUUGAGGCAGUGGAGGGUAGUCCUGAUUUAUCCCGGUAUUUGGUAAAAUUCAAUUCUUUUGGACAAAAUGUUGAAUAUCAUUUUCUCGCCAAAAAUUUGCAGCCAAUUCCAGACAGAAAGCUGCACUGGAGAUCUAUAGAAGGCUUUGCAAAUAGAGGCAGUGUUCGAUUUUUCCCUAGAGGCCCUUCCUUGUGCUUAGUAGAGAUUAAUUUUUCAUUCGAAGUUCCACAUGCUUUAGCUCCAGUUGCAUUUUUAAUGAAACCGUUUAUGGAGAAGCUUAUUCGUGGAGGAUUGGAACAUUUUGCUGCCUUCGUGAAGACCUCUUAAGGCAGAAAUGAAGAAUACUUCAUUUGCCUUCGUCCAAAUAAAUUAUUCUUCAUGCAGUUAUUUUUUCUUGUUUCGUAAGAUGUCCAAACAUGGAAUGUUGUUACUUGUUAAUUUACUGAUGAAAAGUAAAUAUUCUAAAGUAAUUAAGACAUGUUUCUUUCAAGAUUAUACGCUUGCUGUGUGACAAAGCUAUUUAUUAUUUAAAGCAAUUAUUCGUUGCAUUAUAA